rnacentral:rRNA from 1 species
UACGUAGGGUGCAAGCGUUGUCCGGAAUUAUUGGGCGUAAAGAGCUCGUAGGCGGUUUGUUGCGUCGGCUGUGAAAUCCCGAGGCUCAACCUCGGGUCUGCAGUCGAUACGAGCAAACUAGAGUGUUGCAGGGGAGACUGGAAUUCCUGGUGUAGCGGUGAAAUGCGCAGAUAUCGGGAAGAACACCCGUGGCGAAGGCGGCACUCUGGGACGGUACUGACGCUGAGACGCGAAAGCGUGGGGAGCGAACAGG